GCGGCGGUGGCGAAAUGGUAGACGCACUAGCCUUAGGAGCUAGCGAGGCAACUCAUGAAGGUUCAAGUCCUUUCCGCCGCACCA
rnacentral:tRNA from 1 species